rnacentral:piRNA from 2 species
UGCUGUCAGCACCCAUCAUGCACCCA